rnacentral:rRNA from 1 species
GGUGAACGCUGGCGGCGUGCCUAAUACAUGCAAGUCGAGCGAACAGAUGAGGAGCUUGCUCCUCUGACGUUAGCGGCGGACGGGUGAGUAACACGUGGAUAACCUACCUAUAAGACUGGGAUAACUUCGGGAAACCGGAGCUAAUACCGGAUAAUAUAUUGAACCGCAUGGUUCAAUAGUGAAAGACGGUUUUGCUGUCACUUAUAGAUGGAUCCGCGCCGCAUUAGCUAGUUGGUAAGGUAACGGCUUACCAAGGCAACGAUGCGUAGCCGACCUGAGAGGGUGAUCGGCCACACUGGAACUGAGACACGGUCCAGACUCCUACGGGAGGCAGCAGUAGGGAAUCUUCCGCAAUGGGCGAAAGCCUGACGGAGCAACGCCGCGUGAGUGAUGAAGGUCUUCGGAUCGUAAAACUCUGUUAUUAGGGAAGAACAAAUGUGUAAGUAACUAUGCAUGUCUUGACGGUACCUAAUCAGAAAGCCACGGCUAACUACGUG